rnacentral:rRNA from 1 species
CACAUGCAAGUGAGCGGGAUUCAUUAUAGCUUGCUAUGGAUGAUGAGGAGCAGCGCACUGGUGAGUAACACGUGGGAACAUGCCUUUUGGUGGGGGACAACAGUUGGAAACGACUGCUAAUACCGCAUACGCCCUGAGGGGGAAAGAUUAAUUGCCGAAAGAUUGGCCCGCGGAAGAUUAGGUAGUAGGUGGGGUAACGGCCUACCUAGCCGACGACCUAUAGCUGGUCUGAGAGGACGAUCAGCCACAUUGGAACUGAGACACGGUCCAGACUCCUACGGGAGGCAGCAGUGAGGAAUAUUGGGCAAUGGAGGGAACUCUGACCCAGCCAAUGCCGCGUGAGUGAAGAAGGUUUUCGGAUUGUAAAGCUCUUUCAGAUGGGAAGAUGAUGACGGUACCAUCAGAAGAAGCACCGGCUAACUUCGUGCCAGCCGCCGC